rnacentral:rRNA from 1 species
AUUGAACGCUGGCGGCAUGCCUUACACAUGCAAGUCGAACGGCAGCACGGGGCAACCUGGUGGCGAGUGGCGAACGGGUGAGUAAUGCAUCGGAACGUACCUUUCAGUGGGGGAUAACGUAGUGAAAGUUACGCUAAUACCGCAUAUUCUGUGAGCAGGAAAGCAGGGGAUCGCAAGACCUUGCGCUGAUUGAGCGGCCGAUAUCAGAUUAGCUAGUUGGUGAGGUAAAGGCUCACCAAGGCGACGAUCUGUAGCGGGUCUGAGAGGAUGAUCCGCCACACUGGAACUGGGACACGGUCCAGACUCCUACGGGAGGAAGCAGUGGGGAAUUUUGGACAAUGGGGGCAACCCUGAUCCAGCCAUGCCGCGUGAGUGAAGAAGGCCUUCGGGUUGUAAAGCUCUUUCGGCCGGGAAGAAAUCGUAUCAGCUAAUACCUGGUGCGGAUGACGGUACCGGCAUAAGAAGCACCGGCUAACUACGUGCCAGCAGCCGCCGUAACAC